CCUGACUUUCUGUCAGUAUCUUCUGGAUAACAGGUCUGACUGCUGAGAGGGAAUGAAUGGAUCCUCUGUGCUGCACUUUUUUUUUUGUGUUGGCAUUGCAGCAAUUACAAGUCUUCUGCAGAUCUGAACUAAGUUUUAUUUUGUCUGCAUUAACAUUUUGAACACUGACUGAUGCAAACAGUGAUUUGGGGCAGAGUUCUGUGUUUGAAACAUCUACAGGACAGAUGCAGUUUUACAUAUUCGGAUGAUGUGAUUAAAUAUGACUUACACUUUCAGUAAUUCUAACGCUCGUGUUCUUGUUCUCAUUUCAGUCUGGUCUGCCUUAAUCUUACCAUGUGCCUGGGCACAAAACAACAUGCCAAGUGUGGUUGUGGAGGCGAGGAACAUUACUGUUCUAGCCGGGUCAGAUGUUCUUCUGCCAUGUCAUACUCAUAACCAGCGGAUGGUUUGGAGGCAAGAUCGCCUGCGGGACCGUCAGCGUGUCGUGCACUGGGACCUGAUCCGGAACCAACCCGAUUACACUGUGGAACGCAUUUUAGAUAUGUCCUCAGGGGGAACAGAGCGCUUGUACAACGACUACAACAGGGGUCGAAUUACUAUUUCAAAAGACGCCUUUAGCGAUGGAAAUUUCUCACUAGUUAUUAAUAAUGUGGACAUGAAUGAUAAGGGUAUCUAUACCUGCAACCUACAUCACCACUAUUGCAAGGUCCACCAGUCCAUUCAAAUCCAGCUCAACGUCACUAAAUCACCUCGAAAGGAAAAGCGUGUCUGGGUUGGUGACAAAUCCGUGCUUGUGGUUCUGGUGGGAAAGAGUGUGGUGCUUCCCUGUAUGAACCCCAGACAAUUGUGGACGGACAGUCAGAAGGACGAGGGCCAACAGCAAGUGGUCCACUGGGACUGGCAGGCACCUGGGGUCACCCGUGACCGAGCAGACCGCCUCAUUGAUAUGUAUGCCUCUGGAGAGAACCGGCAGUAUGGGCCGCUCUUCCUCCGGAAUAAGAUGAACAUCUCAACUGAUGCCUUCUACAUGGGAGAUUUCUCCCUGAGUGUCUACAACAUUCAACCUUCUGAUAAAGGCUUGUAUUCCUGCCACCUUCACCAUCACUACUGUGGCUUGCAUGAAAGACGAAUCUUCAGGGUGAUCGUCGGCCCUUCUGUCCAGCCUUCACCUCAAGCGCUCUCCUCUACUGAUGCACCAAAAACUCCUUCUUCUUAUUCUGUCCCACCUGCUGAUGACCCAAAUACACACAUGGUUGAAGCGCCUCGCAUCCUCAAUGUCAUUUUGCCUGAGAUUCAAACUCACCUCUUGCACCAAGUAGGCUACAUCCUGGCAAUCUUCCUGCUGCUUCUGUUAAUGCUCAUUGGCAUCAUUAUGACCACGAGACACUGCAGAAAAAAAGGGCCUGAGUUUGAGGUUCGAAGGUCUGAACGGCAAUGGCAUAACUUUACUUGGCAGGGGGAGGAGGACAUCCAUUGAACUUGAUGCCACAGAACUGCAAUCCUACAAUCAGGAAGACUUGCGAAUGGAAUACAAGAACAACAUAAUUAAAGAAAGGGCAGCGGCAAACAACUUUCCCUCUCCAAAAGUUAUUGAUCUAAACAGAGAAAUGGAGAGAAUGUCAUGGAAGUGAUUCAUAGUUAGCUGCUGGCCGGUCCAGAGCGUGCUGAAUCAGAAGAGAUUCAAGGACUUUACAUUUACAUUGAGGACAAGAAUGGAAGUACUGACUUUAUACAGCAUAAUUACAGCUUACAUGAUGUUAUAAUACUCAAAUUCAAUACUGUAGGUCAAUUUAAUUGAAAUCUUUUAUCAUAAUAGCAGUUUAUCGUAUGGUAAUCUAUUGAAUUUUAAGUUACACAUAUGUAAAAUGUGGGAGAUCAAAUUGCUGAAUUCAGUUUGGCACUCUUCUGUGUUAAAUUUCUAAAUUUCUAAGUUGAAUUGCUAAAGUUCUGUGUGGUAGAACCCACUGUAAGUGUCUGGAUCUGAAUGGGAAUUUCUUAUAAAACUCAGGAAGCAAACAAAUAGCUGUGGCUUCAGGUCUAAAUAGUCAAAGAUGGUACACAAGUGAACUUCAAAGGCAAUUAAA